GAUGAAGAACGUAGCGAAAUGCGAUACGUAAUGUGAAUUGCAGAAUUCAGUGAAUCAUCGAAUCUUUGAACGCAUAUUGCGCUCUCUGGUAUUCCGGAGAGCAUGCUUGUUUGAGUAUCAGUAAACACCUCAACUUCCAUAUCUUUUUUUGAGAUGGGAGUUGGACUUGAGUGAUCCCAACGCUUUUCCUCACCGAAAAGUGGCGGGUUACUUGAAAUGCAGGUGCAGCUGGACUUUUCUCUGAGCUAUAAGCAUAUCUAUUUAGUCUGCCUAAAAAACAGAUUAUUACCUUUGCUGCAGCUAACAUAAAGGAGAUUAGUUCUUGUGCUGACUGAUGCAGGAUUCACAAAGACAGCUUCGGCCGACUUUGUAAACUCGAUCUCAAAUCAAGUAAGACUACCCGCUGAACUUAAGCAUAUCAAUAAGCGGAGGA
rnacentral:misc_RNA from 1 species